rnacentral:rRNA from 1 species
AGAGUUUGAUCCUGGCUCAGAAUGAACGCUGGCGGCGUGCUUAACACAUGCAAGUCGAACGAGAAAGGGAUUGCUUGCAAUCCCGAGUAGAGUGGCGCACGGGUGAGUAACACGUAGAUAAUCUGCCUUCAAGCCUGGGAUAACUAUUCGAAAGGGUAGCUAAUACCGGAUAAAGUCGAUCUACACAAGUAGAUUGAUGAAAGAUUGCCUCUUCUUGAAAGCAAUUGUUUGGAGAUGAGUUUGCGUACCAUUAGCUUGUUGGUGGGGUAAAGGCCUACCAAGGCAACGAUGGUUAGCUGGUCUGAGAGGAUGAUCAGCCACACUGGAACUGGAACACGGUCCAGACUCCUACGGGAGGCAGCAGUGAGGAAUUUUGCGUAAUGGGGGCAACCCUGACGCAGCAACGCCGCGUGAGUGAAGAAGGCCUUUGGGUCGUAAAACUCUGUCAACAGGGAAGAAGUUACAAUUGUUUAAUAGAUGGUUGUAUUGACGGUACCUGUGGAGGAAGCGCCGGCUAACUCCGUGCCAGCAGCCGCGGUAAUACGGGGGGCGCAAGCGUUAUUCGGAAUUAUUGGGCGUAAAGGGCGCGCAGGCGGUCUUGUCCGUCAGGUGUGAAAGCUCGGGGCUCAACCCCGGAAGUGCACUUGAAACAGCAAGACUUGAAUACGGGAGAGGAAAGCGGAAUUCCUGGUGUAGAGGUGAAAUUCGUAGAUAUCAGGAGGAACACCGAUGGCGAAGGCAGCUUUCUGGACCGAUAUUGACGCUGAGGCGCGAAGGCGUGGGUAGCAAACGGGAUUAGAUACCCCGGUAGUCCACGCAGUAAACGUUGUACACUCGGUGUAGCGGGUAUUAAAACCUGCUGUGCCCAAGCUAACGCAUUAAGUGUACCGCCUGGGAAGUACGGUCGCAAGACUAAAACUCAAAGGAAUUGACGG